rnacentral:rRNA from 1 species
AUGCACGCUGGCGGCGUGCCUCAUACAUGCAAGUCGAGCGAACAGACGAGGAGCUUGCUCCUCUGACGUUAGCGGCGGACGGGUGAGUAACACGUGGAUAACCUACCUAUAAGACUGGGAUAACUUCGGGAAACCGGAGCUAAUACCGGAUAAUAUAUUGAACCGCAUGGUUCAAUAGUGAAAGACGGUUUUGCUGUCACUUAUAGAUGGAUCCGCGCCGCAUUAGCUAGUUGGUAAGGUAACGGCUUACCAAGGCAACGAUGCGUAGCCGACCUGAGAGGGUGAUCGGCCACACUGGAACUGAGACACGGUCCAGACUCCUACGGGAGGCAGCAGUAGGGAAUCUUCCGCAAUGGGCGAAAGCCUGACGGAGCAACGCCGCGUGAGUGAUGAAGGUCUUCGGAUCGUAAAACUCUGUUAUUAGGGAAGAACAAAUGUGUAAGUAACUAUGCACGUCUUAACGGUACCUAAUCAGAAAGCCACGGCUAACUACGUG